AUCAUCCCGUCAUUGUGGUUUUCGGGUGGUGCGUUCUAUUGGAUCACUUCUUCUUUUCCUCUUUGGUUACUUAUGCAUUUUAAGCUGUGAGUUUUUUAGUAUGGUAUGCGUGGCUGUUUUUGCGGCUGACUGCACCUAUUUUUCUACCUUUUUUCUCUUAUUUUUCACCUUUUAUUUUUGGUUCUUUGCUAACUUUCCUGCUUUGUUUUUGCCUGAGUUUGGUUUGUUUUUCAGUUUGGCUUUGCUAUGCUGUUCGGUUUUGUUUCCAGAAAUUAAGACAUUAUUGGCGUCCUUGAUGAAGUGGUGUUCCAGCAUGUCUAAUCAAAAAAUACCAGGAUUGUUUUUAAAGUGAAGGACCUGAGUGGCGAAGUGCUAUCUUGAACUCUUUGGGAAAAUUACUGCUUGCAAUUCUUAGCUUACUUGAAUGAGUUUGAAAAUGAUAGGCCAAUCAUUAUUCUUUUGACGUAUGCCAGAAUCAAAGAAGGACAAGAAAUACAGGAUCAUAUCCACCCUCAGUGAGAAAUUCUUUGAAAGCGUCAAAACUAAUGAUCAAUGAACUUGUGUUGGAAAUACAAGAAUUCAGUGAGAGGCUUUCAGAUUUAGGUAUUGAGGUCAAGUCAGUUUUGACACCUCUUGGACAAGGCAGUGCACAGGUUUCAGGAUCAACUCAAUUAUCAUCAAAGGAUGCAUUUCUUUCAAAGGCUGAAGCAAAAACCAUUUGUCAGAUUAAUGCCAUUUUGGAGGUCAUGCUUUUAUUUAUAUUUAUUGUUUACCUAGGCUGAUUAAAACUCCAAUUAGGCUAGCCUUAUUCAAUUCUACCAUCACUUUGUACAAAAUUUAAUGCCAGCGUUUGUCAUGCAGGAAAUUGUUUGUGUUAUUGUGGGCACCAUUACAAGUAUAGUGAUGGAUAAUCAUUCAUGGUGUUACCUAGCUUGCAGUCAAUGCCACAAAAAAAACUAACAUACAGACUGUGCCAUUCACAUGUGCAUGUGGCAAAUACAAUGAUCAACUUGUACUAAGGUCAUUGGUUGCCUGCUCAAUUGGUAUGCACUUCAUUAAACACUUGUUUUUACGAUGUUAUCUACAUUGGCAAGUAUAGAAUUGAAGUGAUGGUUAACCACAAGGACGAAAAUACAAAAUUCUUACUCUGGGACCAUGAAUGUGCAAAUUUGAUUGGCCAAUCAGCCGAUGAAGUCAACAGGCUCAAAAUAGCAGAUGGUGAUGUUGAUUUGAACGCUUCUCCUCAGGCACUUGAUAGGCUGCUGGGUUGUGUCCUUGCAUUUAAAGUCAAGGUUCAACCAAAGUUCAAGAAUGUUGUUGUUCUUAAAUAUUCAAAUGAAUUAGAUUUGAUCAAUGUUGUGCUGGAUAUGCUUCCUGAUACUGAGGUAGUGUUUUGUCUCUUAUGUUUUAGUUGUUUUCAUAAUAGCAAUAUAUUCCAUAUGUUUGGUUACUCUCAAUUUAUAUAUCAUGCAAGCAUGUUCCAAGAUCGAUAGUCCAAUCCUUGACUCCAACAUUCCUACACAACUUGAAUCUCAAUUUGUGUCUGUCACAGCAGAUCAUGACCCACUUCUAAGGAUUCCAUUAACACCCACAAAGCAGCUAUCAUCUGAUGAAUUGGAUGAUGAACCAAGAAGCUCUGAAAUUUCACCCGCCCAACAUUCUGCUAACAAAUUAGCAAGACAUCAUCAAAUUGAAUGAAUUUGCCUACUUUGAAGUUUUCUAAGACAUUUUUAAAUCAUGUUAUCAUCAAGUUGUAAUAUUGGCCAAACAUUUAACAAUUUUGUUGUUGUGUCUCUAUGUAAAUUUUUAAAAAAUUGUUAUAUGUUAUGUGUUCCUAAGGUGGAAUGAAAAAAUGGC